GUGGGGAAUAUUGGACAAUGGGCGAAAGCCUGAUCCAGCCAUGCCGCGUGUGUGAAGAAGGUCUUCGGAUUGUAAAGCACUUUAAGUUGGGAGGAAGGGCAGUAAGUUAAUACCUUGCUGUUUUGACGUUACCGACAGAAUAAGCACCGGCUAACUUCGUGCCAGCAGCCGCGGUAAUACGAAGGGUGCAAGCGUUAAUCGGAAUUACUGGGCGUAAAGCGCUCGUAGGUGGUUUUGUAAGUUGGAGGUGAAAUCCCCGGGCUCAACCUGGGAACUGCCUCCAAAACUGCAUGACUAGAGUACGGUAGAGGGUAGUGGAAUUUCCUGUGUAGCGGUGAAAUGCGUAGAUAUAGGAAGGAACACCAGUGGCGAAGGCGACUACCUGGACUGAUACUGACACUGAGGUGCGAAAGCGUGGGGAGCAAACAGGAUUAGAUACCCUUGUAGUCC
rnacentral:rRNA from 1 species